UUUCUCCCCCUUGUUGGUAUCUCUUUCCCCCACUUGCUGCUGUGGCAGAUUCUGGACAGUGUGCAGCCUGUGAGGUAAUCUGAAUUCCUUGGCAACCAGCAAGUACCUGAAUUCUUUCAAAACCACAGGAAUCCAGCAGAGAAAAGUGAAAAUUUGGCUAUUAGCCUUGAAUCAAAAGGGCUUUGUCAAAUCAUUUAAACCCAAUAUUGGAUCCACCUAAAGCUGCAAAAUCCAGGACAAAGUCUUUCUGGAUUGCAACUCUGACAGGGAAAAGAAUCUUCACCAUUUUGGUAGAGAACAACACCCUCUCUGGAAGAUCUAUUCUGAAGAACAAUGGCAAGUUAUCUUAAUACCCUAGGAUCUUCAUUCAUAACAACUGUCAUUGCAUGAAAAUACCACGUGAUCCUGGAUACCUGCUGGUGUGUGUUUACACAAA